AUUGAACGCUGGCGGCAGGCUUAACACAUGCAAGUCGAGCGGGGGAAGGUAGCUUGCUACCGGACCUAGCGGCGGACGGGUGAGUAAUGCUUAGGAAUCUGCCUAUUAGUGGGGGACAACAUCUCGAAAGGGAUGCUAAUACCGCAUACGUCCUACGGGAGAACGCAGGGGAUCUUCGGAACUUGCGCUAAUAGCUGAGCCUAAGUCGGAUUAGCUAGCUGGUGGGGUAAAGGCCUACCAAGGCGACGAUCUGUAGCGGGUCUGAGAGGAUGAUCCGCCACACUGGGACUGAGACACGGCCCAGACUCCUACGGGAGGCAGCAGUGGGGAAUAUUGGACAAUGGGGGGAACCCUGAUCCAGCCAUGCCGCGUGUGUGAAGAAGGCCUUAUGGUUGUAAAGCACUUUAAGCGAGGAGGAGGCUACUCUAGUUAAUACCUAGGGAUAGUGGACGUUACUCGCAGAAUAAGCACCGGCUAACUCUGUGCCAGCCGCCGCCGUAA
rnacentral:rRNA from 1 species